AGUGAACGCUGGCGGUAGGCCUAACACAUGCAAGUCGAACGGCAGCACAGUAAGAGCUUGCUCUUACGGGUGGCGAGUGGCGGACGGGUGAGGAAUACAUCGGAAUCUACUUUUUCGGGGGGGAUAACGUAGGGAAACUUACGCUAAUACCGCAUACGACCUACGGGUGAAAGCAGGGGAUCUUCGGACCUUGCGCGAUUGAAUGAGCCGAUGUCGGAUUAGCUAGUUGGCGGGGUAAAGGCCCACCAAGGCGACGAUCCGUAGCUGGUCUGAGAGGAUGAUCGGCCACACUGGAACUGAGACACGGUCCAGACGCCUACGGGAGGCAGCAGUGGGGAAUAUUGGACAAUGGGCGCAAGCCUGAUCCAGCCAUACCGCGUGGGUGAAGAAGGCCUUCGGGUUGUAAAGCCCUUUUGUUGGGAAAGAAAAGCAGCAGGUUAAUACCCCGCUGUUCUGACGGUACCCAAAGAAUAAGCACCGGCUAACUUCGUG
rnacentral:rRNA from 1 species